AUUUGGAAUAAUAUAUACUUGUGUUUUAUUUACAACAAGAUCCUUUCAUAGCUUGAACUCUAGUAAUACAUCUAUGAAAUAAUAAACAAUAGGUUUAAAAAAAGUCUUUUAAAGAACAAAGUUAUAUGACAAAUCAGAAAUACCAGUAUGUAGAUGUUAUGUAUGGUUUUUCAUAACUUGUAAUGAUUUACCUAUUUAUGGCUAACAGAAUUGAUACAAGUCUAGCUACAAGUGCAAAAUAGAUGCUUCUAGGUUAAAAAUAAAUAAAAAAGAAUAUUAAUUUAAUACAAGAGAAAAAAAAAUCUUAGGAGUAAGGUGGGUUGGUCCUCCAGAGGUUUAAUUUACAUUUUUUAAAACAUCUUUUGUUAAUGUUGCAAUGUAUCUCCUUGACAUAUCUAUGUCACUCUUCAGCUUCUUGAAACUAAUUUGUGUGGUUGUGAAUUUUAUGUUCAGUUGCUAAGUCACAGGUGAAUGUUACAUAAGUCAGUGCAGUAGGAAACCAAACAGUUAAAAAAAAAAAACGAAGGUCAUACACUUUGUCAAUGACUACUAGACACAAGGUGCAAUAGAGGAUAAAACAGGUCAGAGUCUAUAGAGGCAAAGUUGUAUUUGUUGAACUGGGUCUUGUAGAACAUACACGCAGACACACUUUUAACCUUUAUCUUAGUACCAGUAAAACAACUUCAAGCAAAGUGCUUUGCACGCUGGGGUCAAAUCUAGAUAGGGUACUCCUAGCCCAAAGUGACACACAGAAGUCUAAUCUGAAAAGGUUCCCACCAACCCAAAGUGCAUUACACACAGCCUUUCUAGCCUUUAACAAAAAAACAGUGGCCUUUGAAUAUAAAGUUACCAUGCCUGUAAAGUGCAAUAACUCUUUUUAGGGAACAUCCCAAUGCUGAUUGUUAUGCAAGGUCAAUGAAAGUUUAAAGAGUUAAAGGGAAGAUAGCAAAUAGUCUCAUAUGGGGGUUCCUUUAAAAAAGAUAAUUAUUAUGAUCAAGAGAAGAUGAACGCUUUUGGGCUUUGCUAAUAAUUAGCAUAGAUUUGAUAGGGCUAUCUGUUAUGUCAUUUUGUCAAGCCUAUUUUCAUUUUUAAACAUAUUAACUAAGA